CCAACAUCAACACAUUCCACUCAUCCUGGACAUUCACACUAACACUUUCCCAAGUUCCAAACCUAAUUCCGGUUUUCCUGGAAAUUCCAACAUUCAACCUCUUCUUACAUUCAUACUACAUUCUUGGUAAAGGAACUAGAAACAUUCCUGGAUUUUCCCAUUGAAAUUAAUUGGCCAUUUUUCAAACUUCCACCAUUUGCACAUUUUUCAACCGAUUCCAACCAUUCCACCUUCAACAUAUUCCACUUUAUUCCAAGUUUUAAAAAAAUUCCCAAAAUUCCCAGUUUUCCAAAUCCUAUUUUCAUUUUUUUUCCCCUGUAACUCCCACAUUUUUCAACCCACUUCAACCGUUCCACCAUCAAAACAUUUUUCUUAAUCAGGACAAAAAACGAAGUAGUUUUUUGAACUGGAAAAAUUCCCAGUUUUCCCGAAAUUCCAGUAAUACCUUUUUUUCAGUUAAAAAUGUUACCGCGUCAAUAUUUCUCGACUGUUUUGACCAAUUCAGCUCAUCCAGGACAUUCAUGCUUCUAAUCAUUUUUUUUUUUAAAUCCCGCUUUUCCCAAAUUUCCAGGAAGUUCCCAUUGAAAUGAAUGGGACAUUUUUCCAAGUUGCACAAUUCCCACAUUUUUCAAGCUAUUCAAACCAUUCCAACA